AGCAGUAGGGAAUUUUCCGCAAUGGACGAAAGUCUGACGGAGCAACGCCGCGUGAGUGAUGAAGGCUUUCGGGUCGUAAAACUCUGUUGUUAGGGAAGAACAAGUGCUAGUUGAAUAAGCUGGCACCUUGACGGUACCUAACCAGAAAGCCACGGCUAACUACGUGCCAGCAGCCGCGGUAAUACGUAGGUGGCAAGCGUUAUCCGGAAUUAUUGGGCGUAAAGCGCGCGCAGGUGGUUUCUUAAGUCUGAUGUGAAAGCCCACGGCUCAACCGUGGAGGGUCAUUGGAAACUGGGAGACUUGAGUGCAGAAGAGGAAAGUGGAAUUCCAUGUGUAGCGGUGAAAUGCGUAGAGAUAUGGAGGAACACCAGUGGCGAAGGCGACUUUCUGGUCUGUAACUGACACUGAGGCGCGAAAGCGUGGGGAGCAAACAGGAUUAGAUACCCUGGUAGUCCACGCCGUAAACGAUGAGUGCUAAGUGUUAGAGGGUUUCCGCCCUUUAGUGCUUGAAGUUCACUCAUACGCGGCGUUCCUUCCCCCUGGUGUGAGCCAUGGCGGAAGAUUCACUCU
rnacentral:rRNA from 1 species